GAUGAACGCUAGCUACAGGCUUAACACAUGCAAGUCGAGGGGCAGCAUGAUUGAAGCUUGCUUCAAUCGAUGGCGACCGGCGCACGGGUGAGUAACACGUAUCCAACCUGCCGAUAACUCGGGGAUAGCCUUUCGAAAGAAAGAUUAAUACCCGAUAGUAUAGUAUUUCCGCAUGGUUUCACUAUUAAAGAACUUCGGUUAUCGAUGGGGAUGCGUUCCAUUAGAUAGUUGGCGGGGUAACGGCCCACCAAGUCAACGAUGGAUAGGGGUUCUGAGAGGAAGGUCCCCCACAUUGGAACUGAGACACGGUCCAAACUCCUACGGGAGGCAGCAGUGAGGAAUAUUGGUCAAUGGACGAGAGUCUGAACCAGCCAAGUAGCGUGAAGGAGGACUGCCCUAGGGGUUGUAAACUUCUUUUAUACGGGAAUAAAGUGGAGUAUGCAUACUCCUUUGUAUGUACCGUAUGAAUAAGGAUCGGCUAACUCCGUG
rnacentral:rRNA from 1 species